rnacentral:rRNA from 1 species
UACGUAGGGGGCAAGCGUUUGUCCGGAAUCAUUGGGCGUAAAGAGCGUGUAGGCGGCUCGGUAAGUCCGCUGUGAAAGUCCAGGGCUCAACCCUGGAAUGCCGGUGGAAACUGUCGAGCUAGAGUCCGGAAGAGGCGAGUGGAAUUCCUGGUGUAGCGGUGAAAUGCGCAGAUAUCAGGAGGAACACCAAUGGCGAAGGCAGCUCGCUGGGACGGUACUGACGCUGAGACGCGAAAGCGUGGGGAGCAAACAGG